CAGCAGCCGCGGGAAUACGUAGGUGGCAAGCGUUGUCCGGAAUUAUUGGGCGUAAAGCGCGCGCAGGCGGAUCGGUCUGUCUGUCUUAAAAGUUCGGGGCUUAACCCCGUGAUGGGAUGGAAACUGCCAAUCUAGAGUAUCGGAGAGGAAAGUGGAAUUCCUAGCGUAGCGGUGAAAUGCGUAGAUAUUAGGAAGAACACCAGUGGCGAAGGCGACUUUCUGGACGAAAACUGACGCUGAGGCGCGAAAGCCAGGGGAGCGAACGGGAUUAGAUACCCGUGUAGUCCCUGUCUCUUAUACC
rnacentral:rRNA from 1 species